rnacentral:rRNA from 1 species
GACGAACGCUGGCGGCGUGCUUAACACAUGCAAGUCGAACGGAAAGGCCCUGCUUUUGUGGGGUGCUCGAGUGGCGAACGGGUGAGUAACACGUGAGUAACCUGCCCUUGACUUUGGGAUAACUUCAGGAAACUGGGGCUAAUACCGGAUAGGAGCUCCUGCUGCAUGGUGGGGGUUGGAAAGUUUCGGCGGUUGGGGAUGGACUCGCGGCUUAUCAGCUUGUUGGUGGGGUAGUGGCUUACCAAGGCUUUGACGGGUAGCCGGCCUGAGAGGGUGACCGGCCACAUUGGGACUGAGAUACGGCCCAGACUCCUACGGGAGGCAGCAGUGGGGAAUAUUGCACAAUGGGCGGAAGCCUGAUGCAGCAACGCCGCGUGCGGGAUGACGGCCUUCGGGUUGUAAACCGCUUUCGCCUGUGACGAAGCGUGAGUGACGGUAAUGGGUAAAGAAGCACCGGCUAACUACGUGCCAGCAGCCGCGGUGAUACGUAGGGUGCGAGCGUUGUCCGGAUUUAUUGGGCGUAAAGGGCUCGUAGGUGGUUGAUCGCGUCGGAAGUGUAAUCUUGGGGCUUAACCCUGAGCGUGCUUUCGAUACGGGUUGACUUGAGGAAGGUAGGGGAGAAUGGAAUUCCUGGUGGAGCGGUGGAAUGCGCAGAUAUCAGGAGGAACACCAGUGGCGAAGGCGGUUCUCUGGGCCUUUCCUGACGCUGAGGAGCGAAAGCGUGGGGAGCGAACAGGCUUAGAUACCCUGGUAGUCCACGCUGUAAACGGUGGGUACUAGGUGUGGGGUCCAUUCCACGGGUUCCGUGCCGUAGCUAACGCUUUAAGUACCCCGCCUGGGGAGUACGGCCGCAAGGCUAAAACUCAAAGGAAUUGACGGGGCCCCGCACAAGCGGCGGAGCAUGCGGAUUAAUUCGAUGCAACGCGUAGAACCUUACCUGGGUUUGACAUGGAUCGGGAGCGCUCAGAGAUGGGUGUGCCUCUUUUGGGGUCGGUUCACAGGUGGUGCAUGGCUGUCGUCAGCUCGUGUCGUGAGAUGUUGGGUUAAGUCCCGCAACGAGCGCAACCCUUGUUCACUGUUGCCAGCACGUUAUGGUGGGGACUCAGUGGAGACCGCCGGGGUCAACUCGGAGGAAGGUGGGGAUGACGUCAAGUCAUCAUGCCCCUUAUGUCCAGGGCUUCACGCAUGCUACAAUGGCUGGUACAGAGAGUGGCGAGCCUGUGAGGGUGAGCGAGUCUCGGAAAGCCGGUCUCAGUUCGGAUUGGGGUCUGCAACUCGACCUCAUGAAGUCGGAGUCGCUAGUAAUCGCAGAUCAGCAACGCUGCGGUGAAUACGUUCCCGGG